UACGGAGGAUCCGAGCGUUAUCCGGAUUUAUUGGGUUUAAAGGGUGCGCAGGCGGGAGAUUAAGUCAGCGGUGAAAUUUUGCAGCUUAACUGUAACAGUGCCGUUGAUACUGGGGAGCUAGGAUUUGGUUGCUGUGGGCGGAAUGUGUAAUGUAGCGGUGAAAUGCUUAGAUAUUACACAGAACACCAAUUGCGUAGGCAGCUUACUGAGCCGACACUGACGCUGAGGCACGAAAGCGUGGGGAUCAAACAGGAUUAGAUA
rnacentral:rRNA from 1 species